rnacentral:rRNA from 1 species
UACGGGGGGGGCAAGCGUUGUUCGGAAUUACUGGGCGUAAAGGGCUCGUAGGCGGCCAACUAAGUCAGACGUGAAAAUCCCUCGGCUUAACCGGGGAACUGCCUCUGAUACUGGAUGGCUUGAGAUUGGGAGAGGGAUGCGGAAUUCCAGGUGUAGCGGUGAAAAUGCGUAGAUAUCUGGAGGAACACCGGUGGCGAAGGCGGCAUCCUGGACCAACACUGACGCUGAGGAGCGAAAGCCAGGGGAGCAAACGGG